GAGGGUAUAGCUAAAGUGGUAGAGUACAUGCUUAGCAUUUAUGAGACCCUGGGUUCCAUCCCCAGUACCUCCA
rnacentral:tRNA from 1 species